rnacentral:rRNA from 1 species
AUUGAACGCUGGCGGCGUGCCUAACACAUGCAAGUCGAGCGGAUGAAGGGAGCUUGCUCCUGGAUUCAGCGGCGGACGGUUGAGUAAUGCCUAGGAAUCUGCCUGGUAGUGGGGGAUAACGUCCUGAAACGGGCGCUAAUACCGCAUACGUCCUGAGGGAGAAAUUGGGGGAUCUUCGGACCUCACGCUAUCAUAUGAGCCUAGGUCGGAUUAGCUAGUUGGUGGGGUAAAGGCCUACCAAGGCGACGAUCCGUAACUGGUCUGAGAGGAUGAUCAGUAACAUGGGAACUGAGAAACGGUCCCGACUCCUACGGGAGGCCGCAGUGGGGAAUAUUAGACAAUGGGCGAAAGCCUGAUCCAGCCAUGCCGCGUGUGUGAAGAAGGUCUUCGGACUGGAAAGCACUUUAAGUUGGGAGGAAGGGCAGUAAGUUAAUACCUUGCUGUUUUGACGUUACCAACAGAAUAAGCACCGGCUAACUUCGCG